CGGGGCGUGGCUCAGUCUGGCUAGAGCGCGGCGUUCGGGACGCCGAGGUCGCUGGUUCGAAUCCAGUCGCCCCGACCA
rnacentral:tRNA from 6 species